rnacentral:rRNA from 1 species
UACGUAGGGUGCGAGCGUUAAUCGGAAUACUGGGCGUAAAGCGUGCGCAGGCGGUUUUGUAAGUCUGAUGUGAAAUCCCCGGGCUCAACCUGGGAAUUGCAUUGGAGACUGCAAGGCUAGAAUCUGGCAGAGGGGGGUAGAAUUCCACGUGUAGCAGUGAAAUGCGUAGAUAUGUGGGAGGAACACCGAUGGCGCAAGGCAGCCCCCUGG